CCUUGGUAACUGCUUCCGCCCCGCCGUUGAGGGGCGCCAGUCGACCGAGCGCGGUACCUCCUUCCAACGCUUUACCCGAGCGCCCCGCCGGCGGCCCCGCGGACACAUCAUUGAUCUUCAGUUGGCCACCAGACCUGUGCUGCUCCCCUGGAAUUCCUACCAGCCUCCCCAGAACCACUGCUGCUACCACCAGGCUGGGAAGGAGGAAGAAGGCUGCCCUCCCCUUUUAUGAUGACUUCUUUCCAGACCCUUGAGCUAAAACCAGACCACCAUGUUUGGCAGCUAAAACUUUGCUGAGGACCUGGGUGAUAUCACCCAAAGCCAUAUGAGGAAGAUGAUUUGAGGUGACUCACAGACCUACUGUCUUUUGAAUAAUCAUGCAUUUAUUUUGAUGCAAAUUCAAAAUGAUUGAAAUAGCAUAUUAAACUACAAUAGCAGGCUAA